CACACCCCUUUUCCUCCUUCUGAAGCAACUUCGACUCAUAAUACUAGCAUGCCUUCUUAACUGAUAAUUCUCUAGAAAUUUUGCGGAAGAAAAGAAAAAUCUUCCAAGAUCACAUCGAGUCUGUUCUCCUGAAUGAAUCACUCUGAUGCAGAAGUCUAGAGAGGAUCCAACCCAAUACACAGCUGUGGGGGGUGCUCGUCAGAAGUACAAGUCCAAUUAGAAAAUUUACAGGCUUAUUUUGGGCCCAUCAAAACUACUGAUACGUGUAGCCCAUUUCGGCCCAAAUCACCAAAAGAGAUCCCAGGAGAAUUCAUAAGAAACAAACAAAAGAAGUACGGUUUAUCUGCUGCAAGGAAGAGCUAUAACAGUGAGACUGAUAGUGGCGCAUUGUUGCUGCCUUCAGAUCAUUCCAGAGAAGAACCGUCGUGAGAUCUCCAAGUACCUCUUUCAGGAGGGUGUUUGCUAUGCAAAGAAGGACUACAAUUUGGCAAAGCACCCAGAAAUCGAUGUCCCGAAUCUUCAGGUGAUUAAGUUGAUGCAGAGCUUCAAGUCAAAGGAGUAUGUGUGUGAGACCUUUGCUUGGAUGCAUUACUACUGGUACCACACUAAUGAAGGCAUUGAGUUCCUUCGAGGUUACCUCAAUCUUCCCUCUGAAAUUGUCCCUGCUACUUUGAAGAAGCAGGCCGGGCCUGCUGGUGGUAGGCCCUUUGGUGGCCCAGGCGAUCGUCCACGUAAAUGCUGCUUCGUUGAGAUUUUGUCUUAUUGUCUCAUUUCAUCGGUUGCAAUGUGAUUUGGGCUAAUGUUCUUAUACUGGUCCACCUCGCUUUGAGGGAGGAGAGCGGAGGUUUGGUGAUAGGGAUGGCUAUCGUGGAGGUCCCAGAGGACCAGGUGGUGAUUUUGGUGACAAGGGUGGAGCUCCUGCUGACUACCAGCCUUCUUUCAGGGGUCCUGGUGGAAGGCCUGGCUUUGGUCACGGUGGUGGUUUCAGUGCAGAACCAACAAGCUCAAAUCUUCCUUGAGAGAUGAUUUUUACAUCACGAUUGUUUUGGCAUUUUUUAUUGCAAGCUGAAAAGUAUGGUUAUGUUUAUUUCAUUAAUAGUAAAUUUUAUUCCAUUGCUCUAGUGAAACUGUUGAACAUUUAAUUUACAUGGCUCAGAUCAGUCAGUUUUUGAGUA